UCCCUCUUAGCUCAGUGGUAGAGCGCGUCACUAGUACUCAGUAUACAUCAUUUGUCUGACUUACAUGACGAGGUCAGUCGUUCAAGUCGGCUAGAGGGAA